rnacentral:rRNA from 1 species
CCAACAGGGAUUGCCUUAGUAACGGCGAGUGAAGCGGCAAAAGCUCAAAUUUGAAAUCUAGCACUUUCAGUGUUCGAGUUGUAAUUUGAAGAAGGUAACUUUGGAAUUGGCUCUGUCUAUGUUCCUUGGAACAGGACGUCACAGAGGGUGAGAAUCCCGUGCGAUGAGAUGUCCAAUUCUAUGUAAAGUGCUUUCGAAGAGUCGAGUUGUUUGGGAAUGCAGCUCYAAGUGGGUGGUAAAUUCCAUCUAAAGCUAAAUAUUGGCGAGAGACCGAUAGCGAACAAGUACAGUGAUGGAAAGAUGAAAAGAACUUUGAAAAGAGAGUGAAAAAGUACGUGAAAUUGUUGAAAGGGAAGGGCUUGAGAUCAGACUUGGUAUUUUGUGUUCCUUAUUCUUUUUGGAUUUGGUUCCUCACAGCUUACCGGGCCAGCAUCGGUUUGGAUGGUAGGAUAAUGACAUUGGAAUGUAGCUUUGCUUUGGUGAAGUGUUAUAGACUUUGUUGAUACUGCCUAUCUAGACCGAGGA